CAGUAGCCGCGGUAAUACGUAGGUGGCAAGCGUUGUCCGGAAUUAUUGGGCGUAAAGGGCUCGCAGGCGGUUUCUUAAGUCUGAUGUGAAAGCCCCUGGCUCAACCGGGGAGGGUCAUUGGAAACUGGGAAACUUGAGUGCAGAAGAGGAGAGUGGAAUUCCACGUGUAGCGGUGAAAUGCGUAGAGAUGUGGAGGAACACCAGUGGCGAAGGCGACUCUCAGGUCUGUAACUGACGCUGAGGAGCGAAAGCGUGGGGAGCGAACAGGAUUAGAUACCCGCGUAGUCCCUGUCUCUUAUAC
rnacentral:rRNA from 1 species